UACACGACGCAUAAUUCGGCCCGUCGCAAUAUUGUAGGGAAAUCUGUUACAAUCUGAAUCUCUUGCAAUUCCUACAAUUUACACUAUGAAUAAUUAUGUCCGUCACAAUAUUGCAAGGGCAUCCGCAACAAAUUGAAUCUCUUGCAAUGUUUAGGUAUUUAUUCCCAUAAACAAGAUUACAAUUCCGCGCAAACACACAUCACGAAAACACACCCAAACACAUCCAUUGCACCAGCGACAUCUAUUCCAGCCGUUUGGGAAGUUUUAUCACCGCCGACGGAGCUGAAUUUGGCGGCAGCUGAGGAUUAAGUUGGUGGCAGCUUGACUCCCCCAUCAGAGUUGGCAAUAUCCAAGAUGAUACAUUGAAAAGGGCUGUUGUAGCUUUACAGGGGAAAGUGUUGGAAGAAAAUAGUGUUUGCCUUUUAGGUAUCCAGUAGAUUCCAUCACUUUGCUGCCAAACACAUUCUACUAAUUAUUAGAUUGGAGUUUAAGUAACUGCUUCUUGGAAGUUGUGAUGAAACUCAAAUGCUGGCUGCACAAAUGGGAACCAGCUGUAGAUAAAACUAUAGUACGUAGAUUUAAACAAAGGGAGAUGUAUGAAUAGCUUUCUUACACAUUUUGAUAUAUAAGAGUUGGACUACAAAUGCUAAUACCUCUUCAUUCUUCUGUUUGAUUACUCAACUAGAUAAAAUGCGGUUGCAAGAAUAUAAUAUAUGCAACUGAAAGACUGUUCUUUGAGUUGAAUAAAGUUUUGAUAACCAAUAACAAUCCAAUCAUAACCAUUGUUGUUCUUAGUUUGAAUUAUCUUCUCAAAAAGAUUGGCAUUUAUGCACCGGAGUUCUGUCCGGAGAGAACAUAAGUUCAGUGUUAUAGAUGGCAAAAGGUUCUGAAUCCAAAUCUUGUUUAAGGUCAUUCGACUCAAGAGGUUGGUUGUUUUUUCCUCCAAAAAUAUGUAUCAACCAUUCGAAUAUUAUAUGUUUGAUUACAAGAUUUAUGUUCUUAGAGGAUGAGAAAAAACAAAACUAGGGAAUAAAUAUGGACCUAAAAAAUGGCCUACUAUAGCAAAAUCUGACUAAGCAGUCUGUUGUGUUUAUUCGAUGAUAAAUUAAUUUUCUCUGAUAAUUGAGAGUGAUUGUAUUAGCUAAUAAAAUUAACCUUUAUAAUUGCUCAUGCUGUCAUUUUUAUUGUUAGAGAAUCCACCAUCAUGAAUUCCUUCAAUUUUUGGAACACUUGGUAAUUAACUGAUCAAUAUAUAGUGCACUCGAAUGAUUUUGUAAUUUGUAGUUGCCAUUUGUGACAAGUGAAAAGACUACAAAGAGCUUGUCUCAAAAACCCUGUUAAAGUAGUUGUGUGAUUGUUUCCCGUUAGUUUUCAAUAAAACAUUCUCUACAUAAUAAAUUUCUUAUUAU